GAGAGGGUAGAGGUAGGCAUGAGCUAUUGAAUCGCUCUCUCUGUGGUCCCUUCUUUAUAUUUCAUUGCAUUCAACCCUACAAGUGAAUGCUCAUUUAACAGAGAAGAAGAAGAAAAGAAACAAAUCACUGGUACUGGUAGCAGGUGAGAGUGAGAGUUUUAACAGAGUUUCCCCUCUUUGGAUUUUACACUCCAACUUUACUGGUAAUUGAAACCUAAUUUUGAUCGGUUUUGAUGAAUUAUGUUCUUCCUUCUCUUUUAUGUUUUGAUUGGUUCUUAAGAAAGUAAUCGGAAAAUGGGAAGAAAAUUCAGAUGGUUCUGAAUCCUCCUUUUCCCCCCCUACUUGCUUGAACUUUCUUUUUAGAAAUUUUAUUUGCUGAAUUUUAGGAAUUUGCGUUAUCAAAUCAUGAUUUUUCUAUGUUGUGUUUGCUAGGUCUCAGGCCUGGUCCUGUUAUUGAAGGAUUGGGAAUUGGUUUAAUUGGGAUUGAGUUUGAUGGGGAAGGGUGGGGAGGACUAUGGUCAAAGAGAGAAAAUUGGUUUGGAAUCGCAGGACGAAGAUUAUUUCCCUGCUUGGUCGAAAGAUAUUAAAGAAUGUGAAGAGCACUACCAAGUGAAUCAUGAGUUUGGAUUGUCGGCUGCAGAAGUUGAGAAGAGGCGGCAGAAAUUUGGAUAUAAUGAAUUGGAGAAACAUGAGGGUGCAUCCAUUUUUAAACUCAUAUUGGAGCAAUUUAAUGACACAUUAGUUAGGAUUUUAUUAGCUGCUGCCAUAAUCUCUUUUGUGUUGGCUUGGUAUGAUGGUGAGGAAGGAGGGGAAAUGGAGAUCACAGCAUUUGUGGAACCGUUGGUUAUUUUCUUGAUCUUGAUUGUGAAUGCAAUUGUGGGCAUUUGGCAAGAGAGCAAUGCUGAGAAAGCAUUGGAAGCCUUGAAAGAAAUCCAGUCUGAGCACGCCACAGUGAUAAGAGAUGGCAAGAAGAUUUCGAAUUUGCCCGCAAAAGAACUUGUUCCAGGAGAUAUUGUGGAGUUGAGAGUGGGUGAUAAGGUGCCUGCAGAUAUGCGAGUUUUGAGUUUGAUUAGCUCCACAGUUCGUGUUGAGCAAGGUUCUUUGACGGGAGAGAGUGAAGCAGUGAGCAAGACUGUCAAGGCUGUUGCAGGAGACACAGAUAUACAAGGUAAGAAAUGCAUGGUUUUUGGGGGAACAACAGUGGUGAAUGGAAAUUGUAUAUGCUUGGUUACACAAACAGGAAUGAAUACAGAGAUUGGAAAGGUACAUUCACAGAUCCAUGAAGCCUCACAGAAUGAAGAGGAUACCCCAUUGAAGAAGAAAUUGAAUGAGUUCGGAGAGCUUCUAACACUGAUAAUUGGAGUCAUUUGUGCAUUAGUUUGGUUGAUUAAUGUUAAGUACUUUCUUACUUGGGAAUAUGUUGAUGGUUGGCCUAAGAAUUUUAAGUUCUCAUUUGAGAAGUGCACAUAUUACUUUGAGAUUGCUGUGGCACUGGCAGUGGCUGCUAUACCAGAAGGAUUGCCUGCAGUCAUUACAACAUGUUUGGCACUUGGAACUCGAAAGAUGGCUCAAAAGAAUGCACUUGUUAGAAAGUUGCCUAGUGUUGAGACUCUUGGAUGUACAACAGUGAUCUGUUCUGACAAAACAGGUACUUUAACAACUAAUCAGAUGGCCGCGUCAAAGCUAGUGGCUAUGGGUUCUAGGAUUGGUACUCUUCGAUCUUUCAAUGUGGAAGGGACUACCUACGACCCUUUGGAUGGGAAAAUAGAAGACUGGCCAGUGGGUCGAAUGGACUCUAAUCUUCAGAUGAUCGCAAAGAUUGCUGCAGUCUGCAAUGAUGCAGGUGUGGAGCGAUCUGGUCACCAUUAUAUUGCUAGUGGAAUGCCUACAGAGGCUGCCUUAAAGGUACUUGUUGAGAAAAUGGGAUUUACUGGUGGACUUAAUGAAUCAUCUUCAUGUCAUGGGGAUGUUCUACGUUGCUGUCAACUAUGGAAUAAAAUGGAUCAGCGCAUUGCAACUCUUGAGUUCGAUCGGUAUCGGAAAUCCAUGGGAGUUAUUGUUAAAUCCAGCACAGGAAAAAAAUCACUGCUAGUGAAGGGUGCAGUAGAAAACGUAUUGGAGAGAAGCUCAUAUGUUCAGCUGCUUGAUGGCUCAGUUGUGGAAUUGGAUCAAUAUUCAAGAGAGCUUAUUUUACAAAGCCUUCAUGACAUGUCAACAAGUGCAUUACGUUGUCUGGGUUUUGCUUACAAAGGGGACCUGGCAGCAUUUGAAACAUAUAAUGGUGAUGAGGACCACCAGGCCCAUGAGCUUCUACUUAACCCAUCUAAUUAUUCUUCUAUUGAGAGUGAACUCAUUUUUGUUGGUUUAGUUGGGCUAAGGGAUCCCCCUCGGAAAGAGGUUCGUCAAGCAAUUGAGGACUGCAAAGCAGCUGGAAUCCGUGUUAUGGUCAUUACAGGUGACAACAAAAAUACAGCAGAAGCUAUUUGUCGUGAAAUAGGUGUAUUUGGACCUUAUGAUGAUAUCAGCACACGAAGCUUAACUGGAAAAGAAUUCAUGGACCAUCCUGAUCAAAGAAAUCAUUUAAGGCAAGACGGAGGGCUACUGUUCUCUAGGGCUGAACCAAGGCAUAAGCAAGAAAUAGUGAGGUUGCUUAAAGAUGAUGGUGAAGUUGUUGCUAUGACAGGAGAUGGAGUGAAUGAUGCACCUGCCUUAAAGUUGGCUGAUAUUGGCAUAGCAAUGGGCAUUGCUGGGACAGAGGUUGCCAAAGAAGCCUCUGACAUGGUGUUAGCAGAUGAUAAUUUUAGCACUAUAGUUGCUGCAGUUGGUGAAGGCAGGUCCAUCUACGACAACAUGAAGGCUUUUAUCAGGUACAUGAUCUCCUCAAAUAUUGGCGAGGUUGCCUCUAUAUUUCUGACAGCUGCUUUGGGUAUUCCAGAAGGGAUGAUUCCUGUCCAGCUUCUCUGGGUUAAUCUUGUGACUGAUGGACCGCCAGCAACAGCUUUAGGGUUCAAUCCCCCAGACACAGAUAUAAUGAAGAAACCUCCCAGAAAAAGUGAUGACUCAUUGAUAACACCUUGGAUUUUAUUUCGCUACCUGGUGAUUGGAUUUUAUGUUGGAUUGGCAACAGUAGGUGUAUUCAUCAUAUGGUACACACGCCACACAUUCAUGUUCAUUGACCUGAGUGGCGAUGGUCAUAGUCUUGUCACCUACUCCCAACUUGCCAACUGGGAUCAGUGCAGCACCUGGGAAGGUUUUUCAGCGUCACCCUUCACAGCUGGGUCUCAAGUGUUUAAUUUUGAUGAUAAUCCAUGUGAUUACUUUCGAAUGGGAAAAAUCAAGGCCUCGACUCUCUCCCUCUCUGUCCUGGUUGCCAUUGAAAUGUUCAAUUCCUUGAAUGCUCUCUCUGAGGAUGGCAGCCUCCUGACAAUGCCGCCAUGGGUCAAUCCAUGGCUCCUAUUAGCAAUGUUCGUCUCAUUUGGGUUGCACUUUUUGAUCCUGUAUGUGCCAUUCCUUGCACAAAUAUUUGGGAUUGUUCCUCUCAGCCUGAAUGAAUGGCUUCUGGUGCUGGCUGUGGCAUUCCCAGUCAUUCUAAUCGAUGAGGUUCUUAAGUUUGUGGGAAGGUGUACUACUGGUAUGCGAUAUUCCAGACAUUCAAAACACAAGGCAGAUUGAGUUAUGGUGCGAGAAACAUCAAAUUUAAGGAGACAAUGGAUAUUUAGGUUUGGAAAUCUCAUAGAAUGUGCCUACUUUACUAACCCUCCUGCUUGGAAAAAUAACGGAUCGGCCAGGAUAUUGAAGAUUCAUGAUUGGACUGAUUACAGAACUGUAUUUACUUUUAAAAGUAGAAAUUUUCUGUUCUCAAGUAAAUCAAAUUUGAUCUCCUUUUCUCUCCUCCAAUUUGUGGUAUCAUCAAUUAUGUUUUAAGCAAAAAUUUUAAAACAAAUUUUGUUGUUCCAGUUGUUUGAGACCUGUUU
rnacentral:misc_RNA from 1 species